GGGAAAGUGCUAAACUUCCAGCUCGAGUCGGAAGUGCUUGUUGGGAAAUGAGCCAAAAUGGGGAGCACCGCCGCCGUGUACAUCUGAGUGUAUCCACCACCGCGAACCCGGGCGCAUUGUGUGUUCAUAUGUGACCGCGUUGUAUUUAAUGUGUGAAUGUUCCACAAAACUCUGUCGGGAAACAGCGUGAGUCCCGAGCCCGUCGCGGGAGGAUGGACGGACGCUACCUGGGUUCGGGCUUCGCGGAGCGGCGGGCCACUUCAGGCGAGACCGCGGAUUGGGCCUACAGCAACCCGGCCAGGUAGGACACACGCAGGAGAGAAGAGGACAGUAACGGGGAAAGCUCCAUGAGGAAAGGCCGCUGUAGGAAAGGCCUGGGAUUACAGUAUAAAUAUAAGUGCAUGUUUUUAAAGUUGUGCACUUUGAGGAAGAAAAAAAAAGUGAUUUGUGUACACAAAAGUAAGUAACUUUGCGCGCUCUCAAACUAGUCGUUUCUCGCGAAAUUACAGUUUGCACGCUGAUGACCUUUUUAUGCUACAAUGUAAUUAGAUUUUUUGUAAAAUGUGGUUUCAGAAAAGAUUUCAAAAUGAUCAUCAGUGUCAGAGAUGUAAACUGAACUAUAUAAAUUAUCGCUGUAUCACUGCAACUCUUUGGUUAUUAAUCAGAGCAGUUUUGUGUUGGGUUUUGUUUUUUGUUGGUGUGUGUGUGUGUGCGCGCGCUUCAUGCAGUUGUUAGCUAUUAGCUGCAAUGUAAAUAAUGAUGAGCCACGUGUCUGCAACUUUGUUUUGGCAUUGUUAUUGCGGUUUAGUCCAAAAUCGACUCGACCGUAGACCGUUACUCAACCAUGUGCAUGGACUAUAUCUGUUAUUGUACGUUUAAUGUGGAAGGUUAUGCAUUAAAGGUGCAAUAGUCAAUAUUUUUCAUUUCUUACUAGUACAAAUAAUGUGGAAAAUUCUGUAUAAAUGACUUUAAAAAAUAGUUUAAGCUGUUGUCUGAGAGCAAGUGUAUUUCAUAGCUUUAAAAAAAAAACCCAUUUGGAAACCUGAUUUCAGGGCCGGAAGGUUUGUUUGUAUUGGAUUGGCCUCCUGUCAGUCAUUUUAUAGACACGCCCCCCAGCGCCUCUUUACAUUUGAAUAAAUCAUUAUGCUGCAAAUUGCAGUGUUUGUAGAGUUGUAUCUUGGCUUUCAAGAAGCUGAAUGACAGUGAAAGUGAUGUCAUGAGAGGUCUUGCUAAUGCUAACUGUAGUUAGCAUGCUAACACUGCUUUCAUGGUGACUUGGUGUAAGUGACUCGUGGUGUAAAUUGUUAUUCGCAAAUUAUAAUAACAUUUCCAGAAAAAUACAUGGAUGCCUCCAUGAAAGUGUGUCUUUUGUUUGCUCUGCCAGAGCACGUAAAGCUCAUAUAAAGCUACUUUAACUGCACUUUUACAGUUACAGGCCUGGGUGGAUGCUGGUACUGUAUAGUGACCUUCAAACAUUCAUGAAACAUUUUUUAUACUGAAAUUGUAGUACAGUAAUAACACAAGUAGAUUGGCAGCAAGGUAGCUAGCGGACAAUAGCGAAUAGUGUUGGCAGCAAGGUUAACGUUAGUGAUCAUUCAAAUGUUGAUGAUUACCUUUUCAAAACAGCCAUUAGUAUCGGUAGUGUUAUAGAUUUAAUCAAAUACUGUGUCUGUAUAUUAACUGAUCUAAAACCAAUACUGCUAUAAACUAAUUUAAAAGUAGAGAAGGGGGACUACGCUCGGCCAUGUUGAUUUUACGCCAUUCUGUAAACAGGGAAGAAACUGUCCCAAGUUGACGAGUUGAAAUUUGAAGUUGAGGAGGUGUUUUUGGUGGUUUUUACCGAUUGUAGGCCGGGAAUUACAAAGUUGCACCUUCAACCUUGAACACAGUAUAACUCUAGUCGAACCACCAUAAGUUUUGGGGUCGGGUCUUUGUGUACAUGGGUGGAAAUGAGGGCAGGCUCGAUCAGUAAAAGUAAAAAAUCAUUCAAAUCUUAUUUAUCUCCAUUUAUCUUAACCGUUGGAGACCUAUUUCCCACAACUGUUACCUAAUUCAUCUUUAAACCUUUAAACAUAGGCAUUGGACAGAAUAGUAUGGUGGAGUAUACAGUAUAUGUCCACUGUUUGGGCCUCCAAAGGUGGAUGUGCAGGUCUGAGAAAGUCACCUAGAUCUGAGACUCCCCCUUAGUGAAACUCUCUAUUAUAUAAUCCCUAAAGGUGGGUUUACACUGUACAAUUUUGCUGUCCCUGACAAAAAUCACACAUCCUUGAAGAAUUCUUCAGUGGCCUUAGAACAUGUAGUGUUUUAAGAAGUGUCCAAUUCGACCAAAGACAGCUGAUGACAAAGUUCUGCAUUAAAAUCUGAGUGUGUCCACUGCUAUAAUGGUCGUCUAUAAACCACCAGUAGAAGAACGGUUUAGGAUGAUGUGAAACUCACAGGACAGCUACAAAUUCAUUCGCUGCAAUUGUUAAACAAGCAUGCGAUUGGACAGAAAAACGUCCUUAUUUACCUCAAGUUCACUUUGCAAAAUGGUUCUGUUUGUCCGACCCCUGCACAUUUUCUGCACAUGCCCAGAUCAUGUUGAUCGAUGACGUUAGCAGGAUGUACUCAUUAUAUUUAAUCACAGGUCUAUCGUUAGAAGAUCUUCAUCAUGCAAACUGACAUGGAGAACAUAUUAUUGCAUAGUCUGUUGUAGAAUUUGGCAUAGGUUUUACAGGGUUGCACAGUCUAAAACCAGCUUACCUGUGAAGAUCUAAUCAGCAGGGCCAGGUAGGAGGUAAUGCAAAACUUUGGUUUUGUACAGUUAACAUCAUCACAUGUGUUUGUUUAGAGUUCAGUUUAUGACCCAUUUUUAAACCCAAAGCGUGAUCAUCACUGAUGUCCCACUGCCUUAUAAAGGUCAGGUAAACAAAGUACAAUUCAGUCUCCCAUUGGAUUCGUGUGGUAAUUACAAUGGUACGAAUGAAACUGACAAGCAAUGCCACGCUGAGGUCAGAACCCUCCGUAGUUCUGAAGUCCUUUAUACAUUGGACAGAAAUGGUUUUGGGUCUAAAUUUCAUACAUAAUGUUCAACAUACUGAGGUGUACUCUGCCAAACUCUUCCAUUUUUUAAUGGAAAAGGAAACCUGAGGAUACAGCGCAAACCAUCUUGUGAACUAAAGCAAAAUGACUCCUCUCCUGAACACUUUCUGUGGUUUGAUACAAGUGUUUAUUGAAUCUAAGAAGUCCCCUUUUUGGGUUUGGAUAUGCCUAUUCUUGGUCAUGUCCAGACCACACACGUACAGCAGGGCUAAAUCUGAAACUUUUAAACAUUCUUUCUCAUGCUCAUUUAAAUUGACCCUCUUAUGACCUGCACAGUAUUGGUGUAUGUAGUAAUCAGUGCAGGAGAUACAGUUAGCUAGUCCAUUUCACUUCAUUUACCAUUUUUGCACAAGAAUUUUGACCUGUCUGUUAUUACUCUUCAUCAGUUUGUGAUGUGUGUGGGGUGGUGUGAUGCGGCCUGACAUGAAAACGAGUUCGUGUUACCACAGCAGAAUUGAUUAUUUUCCUGUAAAAAUCCCAAAGUGUUCUGUUCCUUUUAUACCUGACAAUGAUCUCACUUUUGUAUUAAUUAAGGAAUGACACAUUGUACUUUUUAUCCAUUUAUAGUUACAUUUUAAUGUUGUGGAACGUCUAUGAAACAUGUUCCUCUUAUCACUUAUAUAAUAACUGCUAUAAAUGCUAUGGAGCUAAUAAGACCGAAAAAUGCUUCUUAUUACAGAGACUAUUACAAAGUGCUGGCACUGGAGACUCCUUCCAUAAAUGUUAACUAAAUGCCUCCUUACAGAAAACUUCACCAUAUCCACAAUUAUAAGUUUUACUUAUAAUUAGCUUGAAUAAGUUUAUUAGCCUCAGAUUAUGUGGAUAUUAUUAUAAUAAAUGAAUAAAAAGAAAUAUGUUUAACAAAUAAAAACAAUCGUUGAUGUGGUGAAAAUUUCUGUUAAUAGACAUUUAUGUAAUAUUUUUGGAAGGGGUCUCGAAUGUAAGCACUUUGUAACAGUCAGUAUGUUUCCCCAACUUAGGAGAGACAGAGGAGUUUGCGAUGUCCGGUGUCUAAGUCACGUGCUCUUAUUAACUCUGAGAGGGCAUGAAGAGAGACUAUUGAGGGAAUGGCGGUUUAUAACUGCUAUAAGUGAUAACAGGAACUUAUUUCAUUAAGUCUCAGAUCUUGUAUAUAAUUUUCAGGUAUUUUUUCUUUGAGUUCUGUAUAAUUUGGUCUUCACACUUUAGCAAACCAUGAGUAUGUGGCAAUGAAGAGAUGAUGUUGCUAACACAAAGUAUAUUGAGUGAUACUAAUUUGCCCGUAGCAUGUUUGUUUAUCAUUAAUUAAGGUCAUUAUAUGCAUUAUAAGGAUAUAGACCUAAUAUUUACAGAAAAACCGCUCUGGUACAGACUAUCAGUAUUGGUGGAUCGGUAUUUUCCGCUGUAAAUUUCCAGUUUUUGUAAUGCCUUAACUGUAUUUUAUGCAACUGUGUUGACGUUAGC
ensembl:lncRNA